UACGUAGGGUGCGAGCGUUAAUCGGAAUUACUGGGCGUAAAGCGUGCGCAGGCGGCGCCGCAAGUCAGGCGUGAAAUCCCCGAGCUUAACUUGGGAAUGGCGCUUGAAACUACGGUGCUGGAGUGUGGCAGAGGGAGGUGGAAUUCCCAGUGUAGCGGUGAAAUGCGUAGAUAUUGGGAGGAACACCAGUGGCGAAGGCGGCUCACUGGACCGGUUCUGACGCUGAGGCGCGAAAGCGUGGGGAGCAAACGGG
rnacentral:rRNA from 1 species